rnacentral:rRNA from 1 species
ACACAUGCAAGUCGAACGAGAGAGAAGGAGCUUGCUUCUUCGAUCGAGUGGCGAACGGGUGAGUAACGCGUGAGGAACCUGCCUCAAAGAGGGGGACAACAGUUGGAAACGACUGCUAAUACCGCAUAAGCCCACGGGUCGGCAUCGACCUGAGGGAAAAGGAGUGAUCCGCUUUGAGAUGGCCUCGCGUCCGAUUAGCUGGUUGGUGAGGUAACGGCCCACCAAGGCGACGAUCGGUAGCCGGACUGAGAGGUUGAACGGCCACAUUGGGACUGAGACACGGCCCAGACUCCUACGGGAGGCAGCAGUGGGGAAUAUUGCACAAUGGGGGAAACCCUGAUGCAGCGACGCCGCGUGGAGGAAGAAGGUCUUCGGAUUGUAAACUCCUGUUGUUGAGGAAGAUAAUGACGGUACUCAACAAGGAAGUGACGGCUAACUACGUGCCAGCAGCCGCGGUAAAACGUAGGUCACAAGCGUUGUCCGGAAUUACUGGGUGUAAAGGGAGCGCAGGCGGGAAGACAAGUUGGAAGUGAAAUCUAUGGGCUCAACCCAUAAACUGCUUUCAAAACUGUUUUUCUUGAGUAGUGCAGAGGUAGGCGGAAUUCCCGGUGUAGCGGUGGAAUGCGUAGAUAUCGGGAGGAACACCAGUGGCGAAGGCGGCCUACUGGGCACCAACUGACGCUGAGGCUCGAAAGUGUGGGUAGCAAACAGGAUUAGAUACCCUGGUAGUCCACACCGUAAACGAUGAUUACUAGGUGU